AUGAUUUUGCAACCUUAUUGUGGGGAGAACAACUUCCAUAUGUCAAUGUCUUAAAAUUAUUGAUGAUGAUUUAUCGUGUUUAUUUUGGAUGGUCUGGAGUUUUUGGCUGCAACUAUGUUGGACAGAGAUAUGCUUGCUAUGGCUGGAAAUUGGUACCAUGUCGGUUGGUUUUGCUUGGCAAGAUUUGUGACGAUGCGUCGGACAAACAACAUUGGGAUAAGAUACAGCCUUGAGCCUUGGCAAGUUAACACAUUAGUUAGGGUUAUGAAGUUUUUAUGGCACCGACACAUUAUUGAGCA